GACGAACGCUGGCGGCGUGCCUAAUACAUGCAAGUAGGACGCAGUUGCGAACGGGUGAGUAACGCGUAGGUAACUACCUAUUAGAGGGGGAUAACUAUUGGAAACGAUAGCUAAUACCGCAUACUAGUAGAUGGACCUGCGGUGUAUUAGCUAGUAGGUAGGGUAAUGGCCUACCUAGGCAACGAUACAUAGCCGACCUGAGAGGGUGAUCCGCCAAACUGGGACUGGGACACGGGCCAGACUCCUACGGGAGGCAGCAGUAGGGGAUGUUCGGCAAAUGGGGGAACCCUUACCGAUGCACGCCGCGUGGGUGAAGAAGGUUUUCGGAUCGGUAAGCUCUGGUGUUAAGGAAGCGGUACUUAACCAGAAAGGGACGGCUAACUUCGUGCCAGCAGCCGCGGUAAUUC
rnacentral:rRNA from 1 species